rfam:Brachypodium distachyon strain Bd21 chromosome 4, whole genome shotgun sequence.
UUGGUACUCCCUCCGAUCCAUAUUAAUUGUCUCAAAUUUGCCCAAAUAUGGAUGUAUCCAUGCGUAAAAAGCGUCUAGAUACAUGUAAUAUUUCGACAAUUAAUAUGGAUCGGAGGGAGUAGUAG